rnacentral:rRNA from 1 species
UACAGAGGUGGCAAGCGUUGUUCGGAAUUACUGGGCGUAAAGGGCGCGUAGGCGGCCUUGUAAGUCCUGUGUGAAAUCCCCCGGCUCAACUGGGGAACUGCACAGGAGACUGCUUGGCUUGAGUUCGGGAGAGGGAAGCGGAAUUCCGGGUGUAGCGGUGAAAUGCGUAGAUAUCAGGAGGAACACCGGUGGCGAAGGCGGGUCUCUGGGCCGUAACUGACGCUGAGGAGCGAAAGCGUGGGGAGCGAACAGG